rnacentral:rRNA from 1 species
UUCCGGUUGAUCCUGCCGGACCCGACUGCUAUCAGAGUGAGAUUAAGCCAUGCGAGUUAACGUAGCAAUACGUGGCGCACGGCUCAGUAACACGUAGUCAACAUGCCCAGAGGACGUGGAUAACCUCGGGAAACUGAGUCUAAACCGCGAUAAGUGAGGAUUUCUGGAAUGCUUCCUGACUAAAAUCUAUAUGGCCUCUGGAUUGGACUGCGGCCGAUCAGGCUGUUGGUGAGGUAAUGGCCCACCAAACCUGUAACCGGUACGGGCUCUGAGAGGAGGAGCCCGGAGAUGGGCACUGAGACAAGGGCCCAGGCCCUAUGGGGCGCAGCAGGCGCGAAACCUCUGCAAUAGGCGAAAGCCUGACAGGGUUACUCUGAGUGACUUUCGCUAAGAAAGUCUUUUGGCACCUCUAAAAAGGGUGCAGAAUAAGGGGUGGGCAAGUCUGGUGUCAGCCGCCGCGGUAAUACCAGCACCCCGAGUGGUCGGGACGAUUAUUGGGCCUAAAGCAUCCGUAGCCGGUUCUGCAAGUCCCCCGUUAAAUCCAGCUGCUCAACAGAUGGGCCGCGGAGGAUACUACAGAGCUAGGAGGCAGGAGAGGCAUGCGGUACUCAGUGGGUAGGGGUAAAAUCCGUUGAUCCAUUGAAGACCACCAGUGGCGAAGGCGGCUUGCCAGAAUGCGCUCGACGGUGAGGGAUGAAAGCUGGGGGAGCAAACCGGAUUAGAUACCCGGGUAGUCCCAG